CGCGAACGCUUGCGGCGCACCUAACACAUGCAAGUCAGGGGGCCCAGCCCUUCGGGGCUGGGUAACCGGCAAACGGGUGAGUAACGCGUGGGUAACCUACCCCUGGGAGGGGGAUAACCCCGGGAAACCGGGGCUAAAACCCCAUAACGAGCUUUUCCACUAAGGAAAGGCUCCAAAGGCCCGCCUCUGGCUCUGCCAAGCGGGUGCCCAGGGAUGGGCCCGCGUCCCAUCAGGUAGUUGGUGGGGUAACGGCCCACCAAGCCUAUGACGGGUAGCUGGCCUGAGAGGGUGGCCAGCCACAGCGGGACUGAGACACGGCCCGCACCCCUACGGGGGGCAGCAGUGGGGAAUCGUGGGCAAUGGGCGCAAGCCUGACCCCGUGACGCCGCGUGGGGGAAGAAGCCCUUCGGGGUGUAAACCCCUUUCGGGCCGGACGAAGCGGUAGGGGGUUAACAGCCCCCUACUGUGACGGUACGGCCAGAAGAAGGGACGGCUAACUACGUGCCAGCAGCCGCGGUAAUACGUA
rnacentral:rRNA from 1 species